GACCUCACUUUCUCUCCCUCUCAUUCGAACUCACACGGACCACCACAAAACCACCCUAAAUCUAUACCAACGACGAAUCUAAGACCACCAUUGGAACCCUGAAGACUUCACGAUCACGAUGGUAUCCAUUUCAGGCUAAAACAAGAUCACAGCGUGCUUUAGAAAGUCCCAAGGAAGCUCGGAGUGCUUCGUUGGAAGUUUUUGGACGUAAGAACACGGAGAUCGACAAGUUCAAAGUUUGGCCGGAGCUUUAGAGGCUUUUUCCGGCGAAUACCCGGCGAGUUAGGGGUCGAGUUUCCGGCGACCUCCGAGGCUUUCGAGGAAGUUUCCGGC